GACGAACGCUGGCGGCGUGCUUAACACAUGCAAGUCGAACGGAAAGGCCCUGCUUUUGUGGGGUGCUCGAGUGGCGAACGGGUGAGUAACACGUGAGUAACCUGCCCUUGACUUUGGGAUAACUUCAGGAAACUGGGGCUAAUACCGGAUAGGAGCUCCUGCUGCAUGGUGGGGGUUGGAAAGUUUCGGCGGUUGGGGAUGGACUCGCGGCUUAUCAGCUUGUUGGUGGGGUAGUGGCUUACCAAGGCUUUGACGGGUAGCCGGCCUGAGAGGGUGACCGGCCACAUUGGGACUGAGAUACGGCCCAGACGCCUACGGGAGGGAACAGUGGGGAAUAUUGCACAGUGGGCGGAAGCCUGAUGCAGCAACGCCGCGUGCGGGAUGACGGCCUUCGGGUUGUGAACCGCUUUCGCCUGUGACGAAGCGGGAGUGACGGUAAUGGGUAAAGAAGCACCGGCUAACUACGUG
rnacentral:rRNA from 1 species